AUGCUACUCCCUCCAUUCGAAAAUACUUGUCUUAAAAAUGGUUGUAUCUAGAAUUAAAACAAGUCUAGAUACAACCAUUUCUAGAACAAGUAUUUCCGAACGGAGGGAGUACUAG
rnacentral:pre_miRNA from 1 species